UAAUGUUGAGCCUAAACAUUUGGUUUCAGCGAGCAGUCUACCUUCAUGAACUGACUCGCGAACAAGAGCUGGAGUAACCAUAACUAAUUUGUGUAUCGGUGAUUCCUAUACGGGAACAGAGCUGAGUGCAGUGUUAUGUGUGAGGCGUCACCACCUCAACGGGGGGAGGUGUUCACCCGGAGGUAGGAGACCCGGAGGUGUUCACGCGGAGGUAGGAGACCCGGAGGUGUUCACCCGGAGGUGGGAGACACGGAGCAGCGAGAGAAUGCUGACUACGAGAAUGCUGACUACAGGGCAGCAGCGGACUAGAACAUGCAACCCCUGGAGGAUGCUCAAUCCUCCAAUGACGAGAUGGUGGGGAACACGUGAAGGUCCGGUACGAAGCUGCUGUGUAUGAAGCUGCCGUCAACGGGGGGUCUGCUCAGUCAGUGGCAGACAGGAUGAGAAGAUGUGAAGAUCCAUACCCUGGGUGUACGUGCUAGCCUAACCUCUCCCCAAAGGGUGGCUCUCUACAGUACGUAAAGUGCUUGAGCUGAAGACAACCAGCAUACAGAGAGAUACUGCAUACAACAGACUGUCAAGUAUUGCUAUAAAAUGUUAUAAAAUGUUUGUGAUAUGACGCACUCAGGCAUGAGAAAAGUGUAAUGGUGCUGUCGAGCACAUAGUGCUGACAGGGUGGGAACCUCGUAGGAGGUUUUUUCGCCCACCCCUGACUGCGAAAGACUGGGGUUUGGUUUUUGAGGGGAAGCAAGAAUCUGCAGGUCCCGACAAAUACAAAACUGUGGGCUGACAGGCCUAGUUGAGAAAGAUAGGGACGUGUAGAUCAAGUAGUUAGUUACUGUAGUGGCCACUAAUACGUACGGCAGUAGUAGUAGUAAUGAAUGAUUAGGGGAACUCAGUUAAUCACACUUAUAAUCAAUGUAGGCAAACAAACGUAUAAUCAAGGUAGUUAGAUUUGAAAUGAGAUAUAUAUACAUAGUUGAAAGGAGAAGUAGGUUAAGGGUUAAGAGUUAUGGCUAAGUACAUCUACACAUGUCCGGCGCAAAGUGGAUGUAGGGGGGUCCUAAGGCCCAUUCUCCAGCUGCCAAUCUACUAUGAGACCCCGGGGUGCACAACACUAGCACGUCUCCCACCAGGUCUACAAAACCUCCUCAGCUCCUAUUCAGAUCAGUGUUGCAUAGAAGUGGUUAAUGUAAGGGACCCAUUUGAGUACAGGGACGGGCGCAGGGAUUAUGGCUUCGUUAGAGUAAUCCUCCGACAGCUAGCGGGGGACGGCCAUGGGGUGCGGCAGAAUCAGUUCCUCCACGCUUAAUUAAGGUAUUGUAUGAGGCUUCAUAGCCUCAGAGGGGGAAAUGUUGUGGAUAAAAAAUGUCAUAAAAUAAACAUAAGGGAGACCUAGCAUCCAGCAAAGGGGAGAAGAAGAAAAGACGGGCACCUAGACACAUAGAAGCGGGAUUAGGCGGACAUUGACAAAUUGGAAUUACACUUUAAAGAUCUUUAAGAGCAGUAAUAGUCAAAAAAGUCAAAAAGAGGUAUACGAGCUGAGCUGAGGAGUGCUAAUACACACACACACACACGCUCAAGCGGGAUUAGGCGGACAUUGACAGAUUGGAAUUACGAGCAAUUUAAGAGCAGUAAUAGUCAAAAAAGUCAAAAAGAAGUGUACGGCUGAAGGAGUGCUAAAAACACACACACACACACACAC
ensembl:lncRNA